AGAAAACUUGGCAAAGUUCACAGCUGCUCCAUGGCCACACAUUGAUGAAUGUAUCCCAUGUCCUUGGCUUCCUUACAUAGCAAUGCUACUGGCUGCCAAAGAAACAAAGUGAAGGGGAAUAAGAGACAGAAGGAAAUAGCCAAAUGGGAGCAGAGCUAAGAAUGCAAACACAGCUGAAUUGAUCCACUUCAAAUCUUCAUAAACAAUUCAACUGAGGAUGAAAGCAGGAAUCCAGCAGCACAUCAAAAAGCUAAUCCACCACGAAC